AACGCGAAGAACCUUACCAAGGCUUGACAUGCAUCUCUAAGCGCGUGAAAGCGCGUGACCCUUCGGGGGAUUUGCACAGGUGCUGCAUGGCCGUCGUCAGCUCGUGUCGUGAGAUGUUGGGUUAAGUCCCGCAACGAGCGCAACCCUUGUGACUAGUUGCCAGCACGUCAUGGUGGGAACUCUAGUCAGACUGCCCAGAUCAACUGGGAGGAAGGUGGGGACGACGUCAGGUCAGUAUGGCCCUUACGCCUUGGGCUGCACACGUACUACAAUGCCCAGCACAAUGAGAACCGAUACCGCGAGGUGGAGGAAAUCUGUAAAACUGGGCUCAGUUCGGAUUGGAGGCUGCAACUCGCCUCCAUGAAGUUGGAAUCGCUAGUAAUGGUGCAUCAUCUACGGCACCGUGAAUACGUUCCCGGGUCUUGUACACACCGAAU
rnacentral:rRNA from 1 species